AUUGAACGCUGGCGGCAGGCCUAACACAUGCAAGUCGAGCGGAUGAAGGGAGCUUGCUCCUGGAUUCAGCGGCGGACGGGUGAGUAAUGCCUAGGAAUCUGCCUGGUAGUGGGGGAUAACGUCCGGACACGGGCGCUAAUACCGCAUACGUCCUGAUGGUGAAAGUGGGGGAUCUUCGGACCUCACGCUAUCAGAUGAGCCUAGGUCGGAUUAGCUAGUUGGUGGGGUAAAGGCCUACCAAGGCGACGAUCCGUAACUGGUCUGAGAGGAUGAUCAGUCACACUGGAACUGAGACACGGUCCAGACUCCUACGGGAGGCAGCAGUGGGGAAUAUUGGACAAUGGGCGAAAGCCUGAUCCAGCCAUGCCGCGUGUGUGAAGAAGGUCUUCGGAUUGUAAAGCACUUUAAGUUGGGAGGAAGGGCAGUAAGUUAAUACCUGGCUGUUUUGACGUUACCAACAGAAUAAGCACCGGCUAACUUCGUG
rnacentral:rRNA from 1 species